rnacentral:lncRNA from 1 species
AUGUACAGCAAAGGCAGCAGUUAACAGCAGUGCGCCCCGUGCAGCAGCCAGGCCAGGGGGAGUCAGCACUGCGUGUAUGGAUGUCUGCUUCAUGUAGGCACUCAGAAAUAGGCUCAGACAUUUUUAUCAGAGAUAAGAUGGGAAAAAAACAUCACAUUGGGGGGGAGGGCAGGAUUCUUACAUUCUUGGUGGUGUGUGUUUUGGGAUUUCUACUGUGCAGCUCCAGAGAGACGGGAACACUCAAAGCAAAAGCCUUCCAUGAUUAUAGUGCUGCAGCAGCUCCCAGCCCCAUGCUAGGAAGCAUGCCCCCAGGAGAUGGCAUGCCAAUAGGUCCCAUGCCACCAGGGUUCUUUUAGCCUUUUAUGUCAUCUCAGUACCUUGGAGGCCCAAGGCCCCCAUUGAGGAUACCUAAUCAGGCACUUGGAGGUAUCCCAGGAAGUCAGCCAUUACACCCCAGUGGAAUGGAUCCAUCAUGACAACAAGGUCAUCCAAAUAUGGGUGGACCAAUGCAGAGAAUGACUCCCCCAAGAGGUACGGUGCCCUUAGGACCACAGAACUAUGGAGGUGCAAUGAGACCCCCACUGAAUGCUUUAGGUGGCUCUGGAAUGCCUGGAAUGAACAUGGGUCCAGGUGGUGGUAGACCUUGGCCAAACCCAACAAAUGCCAAUUCAAUACCCUACUGGGAAUUAUGUAGGUCCUUCAGGAGGUGGAGGACCACCAGGAACACCCAUCAUGCCUAGUCCAGCAUAUUCAACUAAUUCUGAAGAUAACAUGUAUACUUUAAUGAAUGCAGUACCUCCUGGGCCUAACAGAACUAAUUUUCCAGUGGGCCCUGGAUCAGAUGGUGGAUUAGGAGGAAUGGAGUCCCAUCACAUGAACGGCUCUUCAGGCUCAGGAGAUAUGGACAGUAUUUCCAAGAAUUCUCCCAAUAAUCUGAGCCUGAGUAACCAGCCGGGCACUCCAAGGGAUGAUGAUGAAAUGGGGGGGGAAAUGUCUUAAAUCCUUUUCAGAGUGACAGUUACUCCCCCAGCAUGACCAUGAGUGUGUGA